CUCCUCCUGCAGUGUUCGAUGCGAGUCUGGAAGUCCCUCGACCCUAAAUUUCAGAUCGGGGUCGUUCUCUGCAGGCAGCUGUGUGCAUAACCGCUUCGGCGGAAAGCCUUCGCUGCCGCGGUUGACCCCACCUUCCGCUCUGGUUCGAGAGCGAUGAUUCGUAACGGCACAUGCGGGAGGAGC
rnacentral:sRNA from 1 species